UACAGAGGUCUCAAGCGUUGUUCGGAUUCAUUGGGCGUAAAGGGUGCGUAGGCGGCGCGGUAAGUCGGGUGUGAAAUUUCGAGGCUUAACUUCGAAACUGCAUUCGAUACUGCCGUGCUAGAGGACUGGAGAGGAGACUGGAAUUUACGGUGUAGCGGUGAAAUGCGUAGAUAUCGUAAGGAAGACCAGUGGCGAAGGCGGGUCUCUGGACAGUUCCUGACGCUGAGGCACGAAGGCCAGGAGAGCAAACGGG
rnacentral:rRNA from 1 species